rnacentral:rRNA from 1 species
GCUACGGGCGGCAGCAGUGAGGAAUAUUGGUCAAUGGUCGGGAGACUGAACCAGCCAAGCCGCGUGAGGGAUGAAGGUACAGAGUAUCGUAAACCUCUUUUGUCAGGGAACAAAGGCGGGGACGCGUCCCCGGAUGAGUGUAACUGAAGAAAAAGCAUCGGAUAACUCCGUGCCAGCAGCCGCGGUAAUACGGAGGAUGCGGGCGUUAGCCGGAUUUAUUGGGGUUAAAGGGUGCGCAGGCGGUCUGUUAAGGCAGCGGGCAAACCCCGGGGCGCAACCCCCGCCCUCCGUUGAAAAUGGCAGUCUCGAGUUGGAGAGACGUAUGCGGAAUGCGCGGUGUAGCGGU